rnacentral:rRNA from 1 species
UACGUAGGGUGCGAGCGUUGUCCGGAAUUAUUGGGCGUAAAGAGCUCGUAGGCGGUGUGUCACGUCGGCCGUGAAAACCUGCAGCUUAACUGUGGGCGUGCGGUCGAUACGGGCAUCACUGGAGUUCGGCAGGGGAGACUGGAAUUCCUGGUGUAGCGGUGAAAUGCGCAGAUAUCAAGAGGAACACCUGCGGCGAAGGCGGGUUGCUGGGCCGACACUGACGCUGAAGCGCGAAAGCCAGGGGAGCGAACGGG